rnacentral:rRNA from 1 species
UACGAAGGGGGCUAGCGUUGUUCGGAAUCACUGGGCGUAAAGCGCACGUAGGCGGCUCGUUAAGUCAGAGGUGAAAGCCUGGAGCUCAACUCCAGAACUGCCUUUGAUACUGGCGAGCUCGAGUAUGGCAGAGGUUGGUGGAACUCCGAGUGUAGAGGUGAAAUUCGUAGAUAUUCGGAAGAACACCAGUGGCGAAGGCGGCCAACUGGGCCAUUACUGACGCUGAGGUGCGAAAGCGUGGGGAGCAAACAGG